GGGAGGGGAACUGUCCCAGAGAGCAGGUGGCCAAUCAUCACUGUCACCAAAAACUGUGUGGUGCUGACUGAAGAGUCAACACAAGAAAAUGACCUCGUAGGAUGCAUUUUUGUUGAAGGCUGUCAUGUUAGGUUGAACCACGUGAAAGUACCAUUUUUGAAGGCCAGGAUUGCUCAAAUAUUGACACUUUCCAAUGAUUCAACUUACCAUUUUGUCCUUUAGGAAGACAGACAUUGGAACGAGUUGCUGCAGGGAGGCUGUGAGGUUUUUUCUCCUGAAAAUAUUUGAUAAGAGACUUAACAAUUAAUUGUCCUGGAUGAUUUAGACAUUUGAGUUUCCUGAAAGCAGGGGGCAGGCAAGAAAAUCUGUGAAGAUUAAUCUAUCCGUUUCUUUCCUUGAGGAGAACAACUCUGUUUUCCUUGGAUACUAAUGGAAACUGUGGGUAGAGUCUGGGCCUUUAUGGGAAAAAAUCCAUGACUAUUUUCUUCUUCCAUUGUUGUAGGGACAUUUCUCUACACAGGGUUUCUCAACCUUGGCACUCAUGCCAUUGGGGUGAGGUACUUCUUUGCUGUGGGGGCUGUCUUGUGCAUUGUAUGAUGCUUAGCAGCAUCACUGGCCUUGACCCACUGGAUGCGAGUAGCGCCCCCUACUGCAUUGUGAAAACCACGGGUGUCUUCAAACAUUGCCACAUGUCCUCUGGGGUUCCAAAUUGUUCCUAGUUGAGAACCACUACUCUAGAUAGCAGUCCCCAACUUGAAGACUUGUCUACUCAGAUCCUGGCAAUAUAAGACCUGACACUCCACCUGCUCUCUCUCCCUUUCCUGCCCCUACAUCCAGCCUUGAGUGCUCUUGGCCAGUUUCCUUGAGGUAACAUGCUUAGAGAUUCUGAAAUGCUUAAGGGUUCUUCUGGCCUUUUAAAGGAAUGCUUGAUUGAGCUGUAUAGAAAACUCAAAUUUCCAGUGGGGAAUCUGGUUAUCAUCAUCAAUUGUCAUUGUUAUCUGUGAUAUAUUACAUUCUGAGGCUCUGUGACCAGGCAUUAUUGCUCAUUCUUCCUGAUCAUCUGUGUAACAUGAACCUGCCCAGUCAGGUUACCACUGUGCCAUUUAGUGGCCUAGCAGUCUCCCGUAGGUGGAUCCCCAGAGGUCUCACACACAUGCUUAGAACUGGAGGACAGUCUGGCUCUAAGUUGCAUAGAGGUACACAGGAUCUGUGACGCUCUUGGACAAUUUAAACCUUUAAGGUUUCUCUCUGGAGGCUUGUUCUUUCCUGAGUGUUCCCUCUCACCCCCUGACCUGAGUGGACUCAGGUUAUGUAGACAGUUGAUUCCAUGGCUCGGCCCUGAGGAGGAGAGGGUGGUAUGUGGGUGAAAGCCCUUUUUGUUGUCCCUUGCAGCUGGAGUUGACUUAGUGCUUCCUUUUUUCCCCCCCACUGAGCUACCUAGACCUGGUGGGGGCUCUGUCUGUGUGUGCUAAGAAAACACAGAACAGCACAAAUUGGCAAAACAUUGUAAAUCAACUAUACUUUAAUAAAAAAU
rnacentral:lncRNA from 1 species